UACGGGGGGGGCAAGCGUUAUUCAUCGUUAUUGGGCGUAAAGGGUAUGUAGGUUCUUGUAUUUGUUUAAAGAGAAAGAACAGAAUAACUUUGUUUUUGUUUAAACAAUUUUAGUUGAGAUGAAAUAGGAUCAGUGGAAUUACUAAUGUAAAGGUAAAAUUUGGCGAUAUUAGUACGAACACCAAAAGCGAAGGCAGCUGUUUUUAACAUCUAACACUGAGAUACGAAAGCAUGGGGAUCAAACAGG
rnacentral:rRNA from 1 species